rnacentral:rRNA from 1 species
AGUGAACCAGUACCGUGAGGGAAAGGUGAAAAGAACGCCGAGAAGGCGAGUGAAAUAGUACCUGAAACCGUGUGCUUACAAGCGGUCGGAGCCUCUCUUUGAGGGGUGACGGCGUGCCUUUUGUAUAAUGAGCCUACGAGUUGCUCCUGUUGUGCGAGGUUAAGCCCCUAAGGGGUGGAGCCGCAGCGAAAGCGAGUCUGAAUAGGGCGUGCAGUACAGCGGGGCAGACGCGAAACCAAGUGAGCUAUCCAUGGUCAGGGUGAAGUGGGGGUAAAACCCCAUGGAGGCCCGAACCGCCAGACGUUGAAAAGUCUUCGGAUGAACUGUGGAUAGGGGUGAAAGGCCAAUCAAACUUGGAAAUAGCUCGUACUCCCUGAAAUAUAUUUAGGUAUAGCGUCUGGUUUUGUCUCUCCGGAGGUAGAGCACUGAUUAGGCUAGGGCCCUUCACCGGGUACCAACCCUAGACAAACUCCGAAUACCGGAAGAGAGCCACCAGGCAGUCAGUGGCGGGGUGAUAACGUCCCGUCGCGAGAGGGAAACAACCCAGACCACCAGCUAAGGCCCCCAAAUGUGUGUUAAGUUGAACAAAGAAAGUUGGGUUGCCCAGACAACUAGGAGGUUGGCUUAGAAGCAGC